rnacentral:rRNA from 1 species
GACGAACGCUGGCGGCGUGCUUAACACAUGCAAGUCGAACGAAGAGCGAUGGAAGCUUGCUUCUAUCAAUCUUAGUGGCGAACGGGUGAGUAACGCGUAAUCAACCUGCCCUUCAGAGGGGGACAACAGUUGGAAACGACUGCUAAUACCGCAUACGAUCUAAUCUCGGCAUCGAGGAUAGAUGAAAGGUGGCCUCUACAUGUAAGCUAUCACUGAAGGAGGGGAUUGCGUCUGAUUAGCUAGUUGGAGGGGUAACGGCCCACCAAGGCGAUGAUCAGUAGCCGGUCUGAGAGGAUGAACGGCCACAUUGGGACUGAGACACGGCCCAGACUCCUACGGGAGGCAGCAGUGGGGAAUCUUCCGCAAUGGACGAAAGUCUGUCGGAGCAACGCCGCGUGAGUGAUGACGGCCUUCGGGUUGUAAAGCUCUGUUAAUCGGGACGAAAGGCCUUCUUGCGAAUAGUGAGAAGGAUUGACGGUACCGGAAUAGAAAGCCACGGCUAACUACGUG